UACAGAGGUCCCAAGCGUUGUUCGGAUUCACUGGGCGUAAAGGGUGCGUAAGGCGGUCCUAUAAGUAUGGUGUGAAAUCUCCCGGCUUAACUGGGAGGGUGCGCUAUAGACUGUGGGACUAGAGUGUGGGAGAGGAAAGUGGAAUUCCUGGUGUAGCGGUGAAAUGCGUAGAUAUCAGGAGGAACACCGGUGGUGUAAACGGCUUUCUGGACCAUAACUGACGCUGAGGCACGAAAGCGUGGGUAGCAAACAGGA
rnacentral:rRNA from 1 species